UGUUGCGGGAUCUCACAGUCUUUAAACCGCGGCGCCCGGGUGUGGAUCCCUAGAUGGGAGCCGGGGUUGGGCCGGGUGCCUGGCGGGUGGCAGUCGGGGCUGACGGCGGCGGCACUUUGCCGCCUCGGGCCCUGGACACCUUCACCCCGCCGCCUGCCCAGGCGGGCCGGCCCUGCCCGUCCACCGGCCGCCGAUAGUCCCCGGCCUUGGGUCCCCGGGGCCGCUGACUGGCCUCGGUCACCUCCCGGGGAAGGCUCCCGCGCCUCCAUCUGCCCCUCGCAGGAAGGGACCCUCUUCUUGCCCGCGAGGCUUCUCCGGGUGGGAUCGUCCUGGCCCCCAGCCCUAAGGGAUCCGCCCCCUCCGAGCAUCCGCCGCCCCUCGGAGACCACUCCGGCUCGGACCGACCCACUCCAGCCACCGCUGCACGCGGAAGCGCUCAUCCUCCCCGCCUGCCCCGUUCCCUCCCCCUUCUCCUGUGGGACAACCGGGGACCACAGCUCCCCGCUCCCCAGGUGUGGGGGUCCGACACGAACGCCUCUGCUCGCAGGGCGGUGAGCGCAGAUCCCACGGGUCCCUCGGUCGGCGGUCAAGGCUGCUUCCGUUUCCAUCCCGGACCCGACAAUGGGCGGGAAAAAGAAGACUUUACACGACUACGCGGCGGAGUUCACCGACCUGGUGGUGAAGCACCUGAUUGAGCACAGUGACUCUGGGGACACGUCUGUGGUGGAGACCCUUUACUGCAGGGCCUGCGAGCUGCCCGUGCGCGUGCGGAGGGACCGCAUCCUGGAACACCUGUCCUCGGGCAGGCAGCACGGCCUGCGGACGCCCGUUCUCAUGUAAAUGUCAGUGCCAACGCUGGUGUUUCAGGAGACAUCCCAGCGGGCUGCGGGCUAUUUUAGGAUUCUCUGCCCUGCAAACGUUUCCAAAGUACGUGGACAGGCCGCCUGAUGACACUACGUUUACGGGAUCUGCUAGUGGCUUGCCCACUUAGGGAGUAAACCCUGUGAAGUCUCGCAGUUUUGUUAAAGUGUGCGUGGCCACCUGAAUGCUGCCUUAUCACAAGCCAGAUACGUACUGGUCUGCAGGGUAACUCCCCACUGUUGAUCCUCUGAGGUGAUUGUGGACUGGGUGCUGUGAGUCCUGCCACUUUGUUUAAGUGAAUGUGUCUUUUGUCCAGCUCAGCCGCCUCGGAUCUCGCUGCCACCAGCCUUACUGCACACCCGUGCCACCCGCCCUUGCCCCAUCAGCCUCAGCCUCGGCUCAUUCUCUCAGGCAGUCCCAGCAUUGGCACGGUACCUCCUCCCGCUGUGGGCCACACGUCUCUGCUCCCUGUCAACCCUACUGCCACCAGCACCACCACCAGCCACUUGUCUGCCCAGGAGGAUGCAACACCAUCUGCCUCCGCCGGCCACCUUUCAGUGUUUCCUGCUUUCCAAGUAAAGAUACCAGCAGUGCCCUCAGAGCAGACCAGCCAGAGGUUUUCUGAAGCCUCCCACAGGGUGCUCCCCGGAGGAGGCCCGAGAUGCUCUCGUGACUUUGGAGCUGGGGUGGCUGGCCACCUUGGCCUGGCCAUCUUUGGGGUGGGCUUCGGGAGCCCGGCACUGCUGCAGAGUGUGGUGGAUGAGAACAGCUGCUGCUUGCUGUACGUGGUGGAGGAGCAGCUGUGUGACGUGGAGCGAGCCUUCAGAGCUGAGCAUUUGGGCCAACACUAGAGUGGUUCGGGAACAGGAUGCAGACAUUGUCCUCAACGACCAGCGGCGCUUUGAUCCGGUUUUCCAGUUCUUGCACAAGCAAGUUUGUGUCAGCCACGCCCUGGGGAGGACCCACUGGAUCACCGCCGUCACAGCCUGUUCCCAGCGGCCUCUCCGGCUUCUCUAAAGAGAGCAGUAGCUUCCCUCGAGACCAGAAGCGAGAGCUCACCCUCCCUUGUGUCCAGGUGGGACUUUCUACAAUGCUGCUGUGCACGACGUGGAUGCCGUAUGCAUGUUGCUGGGGGAAGCCACUCCGGACACUGUGUUUUCUCUGGGACAUGUCUUCUGCCCAGGUUGCAACGGUGAAGAAACACAGUCCCGGCUGGAAGUCACCGCCAGGUUGGGAUGCACACAGAUUGGCAGAUCAUCACCGAGCACCAGAUAUGGCCGCCUUAAAAGAUGCAGAUGCUGUUGUGAUCAGCAUGAAGUUUCCCUGUGAGGCCAUGGUCAGCGUGGACAUCAGCCAGCACUGCACAGACAGCUGCAACCAGGACGUCAGCCAGCACCGCACAGACAGCUGCGACCGGGACGUCAGCCAGCACCGCACAGACAGCUGCGACCGGGACGUCAGCCAGCACCGCACAGACAGCUGCGACCGGGACGUCAGCCAGCACUGCACAGACAGCUGCGACCGGGACGUCAGCCAGCACUGCACAGACAGCUGCCACCAGAGACUGGAGGUGACCCCUGCCCUUUUCCACCCUUCGCCAGUCCACUGUGAAAAGCUGGGUUGAUUGUGCGGGUUAGAUAGAGGUCAUCAGCCGGGUUGAUUGUGCGGGUUAGAUAGAGAUCAUCAGCCAGGUUGAUUCUACAGGUUAGAUAGAGAUCAUCAGCUGGGUUGAUUGUGUGGGUUAGAUAGAGGUCAUCAGCUGGGUUGAUUGUGUGGGUUAGAUAGAGGUCAUCAGCUGGGUUGAUUGUACGGGUUAGACAGAGAUCAUCAGCUGGGUUGAUUGUGUGGGUUAGAUAGAGAUCAUCAGCUUGGUUGAUUGUGUGGGUUAGAUAGAGGUCAUCAGCCGGGUUGAUUGUGUGGGUUAGAUAGAGGUCAUCAGCCGGGUUGAUUGUGCGGGUUAGAUAGAGGUCAUCAGCUGGGUUGAUUGUGCGGGUUAGAUAGAGAUCAUCAGCCGGGUUGAUUGUGCGGGUUAGAUAGAGAUCAUCAGCCGGGUUGAUUCUGUGGGUUAGAUAGAGGUCAUCAGCCGGGUUGAUUGUGUGGGUUAGACAGAGGUCAUCAGCCGGGUUGAUUGUGCGGGUUAGAUAGAGGUCAUCAGCCGGGUUGAUUGUGCGGGUUAGAUAGAGGUCAUCAGCCGGGUUGAUUGUGCGGGUUAGAUAGAGGUCAUCAGCUGGGUUGAUUGUGCGGGUUAGAUAGAGAUCAUCAGCCGGGUUGAUUGUGCGGGUUAGAUAGAGAUCAUCAGCCAGGUUGAUUCUGUGGGUUAGAUAGAGGUCAUCAGCUGGGUUGAUUGUGUGGGUUAGACAGAGGUCAUCAGCUGGGUUGAUUCCGCAGGUUAGAUAGAGGUCAUCAGCUGAGUUGAUUCCGCAGGUUAGAUAGAGGUCAUCAGCUGGGUUGAUUCCGCAGGUUAGAUAGAGGUCAUCAGCUGAGUUGAUUCCGCAGGUUAGAUAGAGUUCAUCAGCUGAGUUGAUUCCGCAGGUUAGAUAGAGGUCAUCAGCUGGGUUGAUUCCGCAGGUUAGAUAGAGGUCAUUGGCCGGGUUGAUUGUACGGGUUAGAUAGAGGUCGUCAGCUGGGUUGAUUCCGCAGGUUAGAUAGGGGUCGUCAGCUGGGUGCCUGGGUCCCAAGGCGUGCUGCAGAUGGAAAAUCAGAAUCCCUUGGGCAUCACCGGGUGGGGCAUGUCCCUGUCCCUUGGCUCCCUGACCCAGGCUAGCCGCUACCAGGACUCCUAUCGAGAGCUCUUCAGACACUUUGUCAGAACCCUUAAAGGUGGGUGACGUUCUCAGGAGGAACCUGGGAUGUCCUGAUGCUCAAUGGGUAGAUGCCUUCCAGGCUGCAGUCAGUGCAGAUGAUAUGCCAAUUUCAGGUGGAAAAUUGCAUUCCAGAUACCGGGUUCAGAUUUGAAAUUGUCCAUCUCAGUGAUCAUUUACGUUGCGUGUACUUGAGGGAGAUUCUGAGAGAUGCUCCUUUGGGGUUCUGUGCGUGUACCAUGUUGCCUGACACGUCCUGAGAAAUCUUCUUAAACUCUGAGUUUAUAAAAUAACUACUUCUGAACUCCUGAGAUCUAGUGGAUACCAUGUGUCCUGGAAGAUAGGACACUUUCUACCCUCUGUCAGUCCUGGGGGUGACUGGGAACCAGAGAGGUUGAGCAGAAUUCCUGGACCUGGGUGGGGCUUGUCCAAGAGGGGCAGGUGGUACUCUCUAGGAUCAGUGUCCCACCCAAAGGCCAGUGGCCCCUUCACAUGCCCCAACAAGAGGAAGACUAUCUGGCUCCGAAGUGUUGGGUUUUUUCCUGAAUCUGUGCAAAUGUGCAGGGAAAGAACCUCCUGAAAUCACCAAAGAGCAGUUCCUCAGGGCCUUCCGGGUGACCGUGGCCGUGGAGCAGUCGUGGUGGAACCGGUCAGCUGUGGACCUGCCCUGAGAAUUGGCAGAGGCCUCCGUGGUGAAGACAGAAGCUCCGUGAACCAACCCGAGGCUGGAGCCAAGAUCCUGCCCAAUAUCCAGUUGCCUGUUUCACUUGUCACUGUUACUGGGAGAGGGAGACAAAACCUCAUGGCGGUCUUGUCCUCACUGGAGACUCAGAAGGGGAAGCAUUGGGAAACCAUGUAUGUUUCAUUUCUGGUGUAACCAGGCUUUUCAGGAUGUGACUUCAGACCAAGGACACAAGUUGGGCUUGCUUAGCUGUUUUGUGUUGUGCGCAGGCCUCAGAGAUGUUCUUCCUGUCAGAGUUCCCUUGGCGAGGCCUUGGAGGCCUCUGGUUGGCUCUGUCAGGAAGAGGGCAGGUCAGGGAUUGGGCGGUGUAAAUUGACUCAGAAACCUGCGGUUUCAGCUUUUCUGUGGCAAACAGGGCCGAGGGCUGGUGAAGCUGUUAAGACUAAAUGUCGCAUGCAUGAGGCAGGCUGCAGGCCUCCUUAGGCCUUUUUUGGGGUAAUUACACCAGUAUUUAAAAACAUUUUUUUUUUGUUUGUUUUGAGACGGAGUCUUGCCCUGUCACCCAGGCUGGAGUGCAAUGGUGCGAUCUCGGCUCACUGCAACCUCCGUCUCCCGGGUUCAAGCGAUUCUUCUGCCUCAGCCUUCUGAGUAGCUGGGAUUACACACGUGUGCCACCACACUUGGCUAAUUUUUGUAUUUUUAGUAGAGAUGGGGUUUCACCAUGUUGGCCAGGCUGGUCUCGAACUACUAACCUCGUGAUCCACCUGCCACGGCCUCCCAAAGUGCUGGGAUUACAGGCGUGAGCCGCCAUGCUUGGCCUAAAAAACAAUUUUCUUGAAGAAUCCGAUUUUGUGCAUAGUAAUGACACAGCACCAUUCCUGAGAAAUAGGAAAUAUGUGUGUGUGGUAUGAAAAGCCCAUAUUCUGUUCUUGUCACCUGAAUCUAGGCUUCAUCUUUGGAUGUGAACGCGGGAAUGAACAGUGGCUGUUUUCCACCCAAAGGGGCGUGGAGACCUUUUGGAAACGGGCCUUCUCCUUUCCAUUUUGCAGCCGGGGGUGGGUGGAAACCUUCCUUCGAAGGGUAGUGCCUUGGGGAGCAGCAGACCUGCUCUGAGUCCAGCUUAGCUUUCCAAAAUUCUGUGUGGAACUUACUGGAGAUGUUUUUAUAUAUUUGAAAAUAAUGGCCUGUAUUUCUCACGCUAUACUUAAAAAAAUAACUAACCUUUUAAACAAAGAUAUUCAAACUCA